UUAAAAACCCUUGUAAAUCUUUUAAAAGUCAUCUAAAACCUUUCAAAACUUGAGUAAACCUUUUAAAACCAUUGUAAAUCAUUUUAUAACAUUUAUAAACACUUGUAAAUACCUUUAAACCCUUUAUAACCAUGAUAAAACCUUUAAUAAAAAAUUUCGUAAACUUCUAAAACCCUUUAAAAACCCUUGUAAAUCCUUAAAAACC
rnacentral:lncRNA from 1 species